CCCUCUCGUACGACCCCCUCACCCCCCAAUUUUCUUUCCCCCGUCCCGGUUUUCUCCCCCUGGCCUGCUCCUCACGCCGGCAUCCCGCGCCGCCGCUGCCGAGUGCUCCUCACGCCGGCGUCUCGCGCCGUCGUCCAGUAACCGCUCCCGCGCGCCCUAUCUCUCUUCUUCUCCCUUCUCCCUUCCUUUUCUCUCUCUCUCUCAAAUCUUGUCUCUCUCUGAUUCAGAAACAAUACCACCAUGGAUCCCGAUGUGGAGCUCCACUGCGGCCCGAUCUGACCUGGGAGCGACCAGAUCCGUCCGUCUUCGCCUCGCUCUGCGCGCCUCCAUGGUCCGCCGUCUUCCGGAGCGCCGGCCCGCGCUCAGCCGCCGCCGUCCCAUGCCAUGGUCGCCUCCCUCCAGAACGAUGUGCCAUGGCCGCCUCCCUGGCUCUAUCCGACAGCUCCGUUGGGGAAGCACCAAGACCCAAACUCCAAGUAUUCGUGGAUACAGGGAACAGUUAUGGUACAAAUAGACUUGAUUGUACUGAUAAUUUUCAGCUUGCACAUGGAUCCCUUAUAGUAUGCAAUCAAGCUUGAUGAUAAAUUCUUGGAGAGACGCUAGGUGCCAGGGGCAAGCUUGAAUUGGUAAGAUGGAUGGGGGGAGAAAAAGAGUCAACGUAAUUUUGAUUACCGAUGCCAGCUGCUCACUGUGCGCAUGGGAGAGGAGGUCAUGCGUGGAGGCUACUCGGAGAGGACUGGAUGCAUGUCCGUGUCCGCGCACUUGGAGCAGCAGCCAAUGGAUGGUUGGCCAGAGGAGGACCAGGGUUAUCCUAGACCACUUGAGGACAAUAUCAUCAAUUUCUUCCAUAGUGCAAUGCAAGUUCAAAAAUGCAGUUUCUGUUCUAUGCAUUUUUCGAAGUGUAUGUAUGUUGUAACUGAUUAACAAAACAUUGGUCAACCUUCUAUGAGUCCACCUAGGGAGCGGCACAGAUUUGGAACAACUUCCAGAACAGGCAUCCAAGCAUUUGGUCUGGUACCACUAAGCUGCCAGAGCAAGAUAGCUGGGAUGUCGAGUCCAUAGGGCAAUGGUAAAUCACAAAUUGGCUGAUGUUUGAUGGGAAGCAUCAGACAAUACCAAUGUUCAGUAGUAAGAUUUGAUUGUGCAGGUGAUCAACCCAAGUGUGUGUACAUCCCCUGUUAGUCCAGAUUUA